rnacentral:rRNA from 1 species
AACGCUAGCUACAGGCUUAACACAUGCAAGUCGAGGGGCAGCAUGGUCUUAGCUUGCUAAGGCCGAUGGCGACCGGCGCACGGGUGAGUAACACGUAUCCAACCUGCCGUCUACUCUUGGACAGCCUUCUGAAAGGAAGAUUAAUACAAGAUGGCAUCAUGAGUCCGCAUGUUCACAUGAUUAAAGGUAUUCCGGUAGACGAUGGGGAUGCGUUCCAUUAGAUAGUAGGCGGGGUAACGGCCCACCUAGUCUUCGAUGGAUAGGGGUUCUGAGAGGAAGGUCCCCCACAUUGGAACUGAGACACGGUCCGAACUCCUACGGGAGGCAGCAGUGAGGAAUAUUGGUCAAUGGGCGCAGGCCUGAACCAGCCAAGUAGCGUGAAGGAUGACUGCCCUAUGGGUUGUAAACUUCUUUUAUAAAGGAAUAAAGUCGGGUAUGUAUACCCGUUUGCAUGUACUUUAUGAAUAAGGAUCGGCUAACUCCGUGCCAGCAGCCGCGGUAAUACGGAGGAUCCGAGCGUUAUCCGGAUUUAUUGGGUUUAAAGGGAGCGUAGAUGGAUGUUUAAGUCAGUUGUGAAAGUUUGCGGCUCAACCGUAAAAUUGCAGUUGAUACUGGAUAUCUUGAGUGCAGUUGAGGCAGGCGGAAUUCGUGGUGUAGCGGUGAAAUGCUUAGAUAUCACGAAGAACUCCGAUUG